CACGUAGGGUGCGAGCGUUGUCCGGAAUUAUUGGGCGUAAAGAGCUCGUAGGCGGUGUGUCGCGUCGGCCGUGAAAACCUGCAGCUUAACUGUGGGCUUGCGGUCGAUACGGGCAUCACUGGAGUUCGGCAGGGGAGACUGGAAUUCCUGGUGUAGCGGUGAAAUGCGCAGAUAUCAGGAGGAACACCGGUGGCGAAGGCGGGUCUCUGGGCAGUAACUGACGCUGAGGAGCGAAAGCGUGGGGAGCGAUCCGG
rnacentral:rRNA from 1 species